GGAUGAAAGGGCAAUCUGGCUACAACAUCUGUCACCCCAUUGAUUACCAGGGUUGAUUUGGCUGAGCUGGCUGGCUAGGUGGGUGUCCCUUCCUCCAUCACCACUCCAUGUGGGUCCCUCCCGAAGCUGCGCACUUGGUGGAAGAAGACAACCAUCCCAGAUAGAAGGAGUGUACCGCUCUUUGGUCAAGGGUAUACAAUAGCUGUGCUCCUUGCUAAAACCUCCAAAUAAGCUCAAAUCAUUCUUAGUUUUGUUUAAUCGGAGUGGAAAAACUACAGUCUACUGUUUUAAACCCUCUAUUUUAGGAAACCUUAAUA
rnacentral:snRNA from 1 species